CUAACUCAAAUUUGUAUGGAGUUGGAAAGUUUACCUACGUUUGCCGCUAGGGGCGCUGUUCCAAUUGCAUACACAAAUUUGAGUUA
rfam:Bombyx mori DNA, contig: Bm_scaf563_contig43768, strain: p50T/Dazao, build 2, whole genome shotgun sequence.